rnacentral:tRNA from 1 species
CCUUUGAUAGCUCAGCUGGUAGAGCGGAGGACUGUAGCAGAAGCAAAGUUAUCCUAAGGUCGCUGGUUCAAUUCCGGCUCGCGGGA